rnacentral:rRNA from 1 species
AGAAGACCACAACCUCUAUCCGCCCGGGAACUACGAGCAUAAGCUUAAAACCCAAAGGACUUGGCGGUGCUUUAGACCCCCCUAGAGGAGCCUGUUCUAGAACCGAUAAUCCCCGUUCAACCUCACCUUUUCUUGCUCAUCCCGCCUAUAUACCGCCGUCGUCAGCCUACCCUGUGAAGGAACCAAAGUAGGCAAAAUUGGUAAAACCCAAAACGUCAGGUCGAGGUGUAGCUCACGAAAAGGAAAGAAAUGGGCUACAUUUCCUCUAUCAGGAAACACGAAUUGUGCUAUGAAACAACACAUGAAGGAGGAUUUAGCAGUAAGCAGAAAGCAGAGCGUUC